rnacentral:misc_RNA from 1 species
AACUUUCGACAAUGGAUCUCUUGGUUCCAGCAUCGAUGAAGAACGCAGCGAAAUGCGAUAAAUAAUGUGAAUUGCAGAAUUCAGUGAAUCAUCGAAUCUUUGAACGCACAUUGCGCCCCUUAGUAUUCCUCGGGGCAUGCCUGUUAGAGCGUCACUACAAACCCUCUCACAAAUAUUGUGGUAUUGAUGGAAGUGUACCAUGGUUACCUCCGUGUCCAUCUCACUCUGUUGAAAUAUAUGAGCAGAACAAUUCAUCUUUGUAACGAACUUAGUAAAUGUUUUCAAAACAUCAAUCAGUUCCUCACAAGUGUCUUGGCCUGACUCCUUUGGAUCCCCAUCCAAUAUGAACUUUGGGUUGACCUCGAAUCAGGUAGGGAUACCCGCUGAACUUAAGCAUAUCAAUAAGCGGAGGCU